rnacentral:lncRNA from 1 species
CUGACUUGUGUAAUAUUUGUAGCAUUCUGUCCUGAAAAAUACAUUUUCUAUAUUUUACAUUUUUCUUUACCAUUACCUUCCUUAAUUUGUUCAAGGCUUUUCCAUGAUUGGAAGUGCUGCCAGUAUACACUUUAUUUAAAUUGAAUGGGAGGUUGUUAUUUAGGCAAUAGAUUUAAGAAUCAUUGUAGAAUUUACAAAAAGAAACAUUUUAUAUACCUGGGGUAAAAAAGGUGUAUCUCAACACCCCCACUUACAUUUACAUUACAUUAUAUUCGGUUCUUCAACAAGUUUGAUCAGAAUAUACUUCACUGUUUGUACAAUUUAUAUUUUAUAAUUCCAUUUUUAGAGACAUUCUAAUAAUAUGCAAUAUAUUGUACCUAAUUUUACAUAUUUAGCUGGUUCUUUAUUAUUAAUAUGACAUGCUGGUUAUGUCUCAAUAAAACAUGUU